rnacentral:rRNA from 1 species
AUACGGAGGGUGCGAGCGUUAAUCGGAAUUACUGGGCGUAAAGCGCGCGUAGGCGGUUUGUUAAGUCGGAUGUGAAAUCCCCGGGCUCAACCUGGGACCUGCAUCCGAUACUGGCAGGCUAGAGUCUGGUAGAGGGGGGUAGAAUUCCUGGUGUAGCGGUGAAAUGCGUAGAUAUCAGGAGGAAUACCAGUGGUGAAGGCGGCCCCCUGGACUGAGACUGACGCUGAGGUGCGAAAGCGUGGGGAGCAAACAGGAUUAGAUACCCUAGUAGUCC